GAAAAUAUACCCGUGAGAGCAAUCCACUUGCCGAGUAUAGCGAAGUGCUAAAUAGUUUUCUAAUACUCUGUCAAAUUUGUGCUUAUUUGAAAUUGUGUCAAUUUCAGUCAGCUAGCAGCAGCAGUCAGAUGUUCGGAGGUUCCAAAAAAUCGAUGGCGCAGUUCUUAUUGGCAAGGUUGCUGUUCAUGAGGCUGAAAAUGGCGUCGACGGUGAUGAUGUUCUUCAUUGUCUUGGUGGCUAGAGCGGCGGUGGAGUCAGAGACGGUGAAGGCGGCCUCAGAUUCGUUGAUGAGGGUAAAGGCGGCCUGGGAUUCGUUGAUGAGUCUGCAGGGACAACGGGAAAG
rnacentral:lncRNA from 1 species